rnacentral:rRNA from 1 species
GAUUGAACGCUGGCGGUAUGCUUAACACAUGCAAGUCGAACGGAAACGAUACUAGCUUGCUAGUAGGCGUCGAGUGGCGGACGGGUGAGUAACGCGUAGGAAUCUGCCUGAUAGUGGGGGAUAGCCCGAAGAAAUUCGGAUUAAUACCGCAUAAUCUAUUCGUAGUAAAGUGGGGGACUUUCGAGCCUCACGCUAUCAGAUGAGCCUGCGUAAGAUUAGCUUGUUGGUGGGGUAAAAGCCCACCAAGGCGACGAUCUUUAGCUGGUCUGAGAGGAUGAUCAGCCACAUCGGGACUGAGACACGGCCCGAACUCCUACGGGAGGCAGCAGUGGGGAAUAUUGGACAAUGGGGGCAACCCUGAUCCAGCAAUACCGCGUGUGUGAAGAAGGCCUGAGGGUUGUAAAGCACUUUCAAUUGUGAAGAAAAGUUAGCGGUUAAUAACCGUUAGCCUUGACGUUAACUUUAGAAGAAGCACCGGCUAACUCCGUGCCAGCAGCCGCGGUAAUACGGAGGGUGCAAGCGUUAAUCGGAAUUACUGGGCGUAAAGCGUGCGUAGGCGGUUUAUUAAGUCAGAUGUGAAAGCCCCGGGCUUAACCUGGGAACUGCAUUUGAAACUGGUCAACUAGAGUAUGGUAGAGGAAAGUGGAAUUUCUGGUGUAGCGGUGAAAUGCGUAGAUAUCAGAAGGAACAUCAAUGGCGAAGGCAGCUUUCUGGGACCAAUACUGACGCUGAGGUACGAAAGCGUGGGUAGCAAACAGGAUUAGAUACCCUGGGUAGUCCACGCCGUAAACGAUGAUAACUAGCCGUUGGGGGGAUUUACCCUUUAGUGGCGAAGCUAACGCGUUAAGUUAUCCGUCUGGGGAGUACGGCCGCAAGGUUAAAACUCAAAGGAAUUGACGGGGACCCGCACAAGCGGUGGAGCAUGUGGUUUAAUUCGAUGCAACGCGAAGAACCUUACCUGGUCUUGACAUCCUGCGAACUUUCUAGAAAUAGAUUGGUGCCUUCGGGAACGCAGUGACAGGUGCUGCAUGGCUGUCGUCAGCUCGUGUCGUGAGAUGUUGGGUUAAGUCCCGUAACGAGCGCAACCCCUAUCCUUAUUUGCCAGCACAUUAUGGUGGGAACUAUAAGGAGACUGCCGGUGAUAAACCGGAGGAAGGCGGGGACGACGUCAAGUCAUCAUGGCCCUUACGACCAGGGCUACACACGUGCUACAAUGGGAAGGACAAAGAGCCGCGAAGCCGCGAGGUGUAGCUAAUCUCAUAAACCUUUUCGUAGUCCGGAUUGGAGUCUGCAACUCGACUCCAUGAAGUCGGAAUCGCUAGUAAUCGUAGAUCAGAAUGCUACGGUGAAUACGUUCCCGGGUCUUGUACACACCGCC